rnacentral:piRNA from 1 species
UAGGCACCUCGUUCUGGCUUCAGAUAG